UGCCUCAUGAAUAAUAAUAAGAGGUCAAUCCUGCCCGGUGACUAAAAAGUUAAACGGCCGCGGUACCCUGACCGUGCUAAGGUAGCGUAAUAAAUCGCCCUUUAAUUGUGGGCUUGUAUGAAUGGACAAACGAGAGAGACCCUGUCUCUUAAAUAAAAAUAAAAAUUAACCUUCAGGUGAAGAGGCCUGACUUUAAUUAAAGGACAAGAAGACCCUGUAGAGCUUAACUUAAUACUACUAAACCUUUAUAAUUAAUACUACUUUAAUUUAUUACUAUUUCUUAAGUUUAGCUGGGGCGGCUAAGGAAAAUACAUCUUCCAUUUACCAUUUACGGGUUAUAAGCCUCUUUCAAUUGACCCUACAAAGAACAAAAACCCAAGCUACCUCAGGGAUAACAGAUUAAUCCUUCUUAAGAGUUCGCAUUGACAGAAGGGC
rnacentral:rRNA from 1 species